rnacentral:lncRNA from 1 species
CAUGAGCCUCAUUUUUCAUGAGAAAUAUUUCCUCUACUUCCUCUUCUAUGGUACCUAAGUACCUUUCAGGAGGAUGAGAAACCCUAGUCGAUCUCGAGGUGGAAGAGGUUGUGUUAGGACUGGUUCUAAUUGAUUGGAUUCCUCAGGUUCUUUAGCUCGUUGCUCUUGGGAGACAUUCUCCUUGAGCUUAAUUAUUCUUCCGAUGCCACCAUCUUGAAUAAACUAUUUUUUAAGAAAAAUAGCAUGUCGAUUCACAAUCACAUUGUGAUCUUUCGAAAUAUAGAAAUAGUAUCCUAAUGACUCUUUAGGAUAUCCUAUGAACCGAGCUCUAAAAGACCUGAACUCUAACUUGUUCGCCUGCUGUCUCUU